rnacentral:lncRNA from 1 species
UACGGCCUCAUUUUCCAGGUCAUCAAACUUGACCGGAUCAAGGACUUUACUACAUAUGGCAUGGAAGAAAAAACACAGGCGAGUUAUGGCUAACCUGACUUUGUUAGGCAAAAUGUCUUGUAUGGCCACGGCUAACAAUUGUUGCAUCAACACGUGACAAUCGUUAGACUUUAACCCUACCAGCUUAAGCUCCUUCAACUGCACAAGGCUCUUAAUAUUUGAAGAGUAUCCUUCUG